UACGAGUGCCCCGAGCGUUAUCCGGAAUUAUUGGGCGUAAAGGGUGUGUAGGUGGUUGUGUUAGUCGUCUGUUAAAACCCGGGGCUCAACUCCGGAUCGGCGAACGAAACGGCACAACUAGAGGAUGGCAGGGAUGUAUGGAACUCAUGGAGUAGGGGUGAAAUCCGUUGAUAUCAUGGGGAACACCAAAAGCGAAGGCAGUACAUUGGGCCACUCCUGACACUGAAACACGAAA
rnacentral:rRNA from 1 species